CAUCCGGACCGGACUCUGCAAGAGGGAUGACAGCUUUCUGAGUCAACGGAAACUUGGGCGCAAGAAAGCUGCAGGGGCAGCUGGCAGCACGGGACGCAGGGAGAACCCAAGCCUGGGGCAGAGGCCAAGAGACCCGGAUUCCAGCUUUACUGUGUGGCCUUAGGUUGCCUACGUGCCAGCCAGCGUAUCAGGGACUCUACGACACGCAUGCUUUCAUCUAAUCUUCAGAACAGCCCUAUGACACAGGAGCUAGUAUCACACCUAUCUUACAGAUGAGGAAACUGAGGCAUGGAGAAGCCAAGUCACUACUGAGGUCACUAAAUGGAUCACGGAUGGAGCCAGGACUGAACCAGCACCUAGCCCAGAGCUUGGUGUGGUCAACACACAAAUGUUUGCCAAGUUAAUAAACAAAUAUGUGAACUCA